GACGAACGCUGGCGGCGUGCUUAACACAUGCAAGUCGAACGGUGAUCUUGGGAGCUUGCUCCUGGGUGAUCAGUGGCGAACGGGUGAGUAACACGUGAGUAACCUGCCCCUGACUCUGGAAUAACUUCGGGAAACCGAAGCUAAUGCCGGAUAUGAUACAGAGCCGCAUGGUUUCUGUGUGGAAAGUCUUUUCGCUUUGAGAUGGACCCGCGGCGCAUUAGCUAGUUGGUGAGGUAACGGCUCACCAAGGCGACGAUGCGUAGCCGACCUGAGAGGGUGAUCGGCCACAUUGGGACUGAGACACGGCCCAGACUCCUACGGGAGGCAGCAGUGGGGAAUAUUGCGCAAUGGGGGAAACCCUGACGCAGCAACGCCGCGUGAGUGAUGACGGUCUUCGGAUUGUAAAGCUCUGUCUUCAGGGACGAUAAUGACGGUACCUGAGGAGGAAGCCACGGCUAACUACGUGCCAGCCGCCGCGGUAACAC
rnacentral:rRNA from 1 species